rnacentral:rRNA from 1 species
GCUCAGUAACACGUGGAUAACGUGCCCUAGAGUGGAGGAUAAUCUCGGGAAAUUGAGGAUAAUACUCCAUAGAUCAUGAAUUCUGGAACGACUCAUGGUUGAAAGUUCCGGCGCUCUAGGAUCGGUCUGCGGCCUAUCAGGUAGUAGUGGGUGUAACGGACCCACUAGCCGACGACGGGUAUGGGCCUUGAGAGAGGGAGCCCAGAGAUGGAAUCUGAGACACGAUUCCAGGCCCUACGGGGCGCAGCAGUCGCGAAAACUUCACAAUGGAGGCAACUCCGAUGAGGGAAUUCCAAGUGCUAGCACAUUAGUGUUAGCUUUUCUUAAGCAUAGAUAACUUAAGGAAUAAGGGCUGGGUAAGACGGGUGCCAGCCGCCGCGGUAAUACCCGCAGCCCAAGUGGUGGUCGAUUUUAUUGAGUCUAAAACGUUCGUAGCCGGUUCAUUAAAUCCUUGGGUAAAUCGGAUGGCUUAACUAUCCGAAUUCCGGGGAGACUGGUGAACUUGGGACCGGGAGAGGCAAGAGGUACUUUUGGGGUAGGGGUAAAAUCCUGUAAUCCUAAAAGGACCACCGGUGGCGAAGGCGUCUUGCUAGAACGGAUCCGACGGUGAGGGACGAAGCCCUGGGUCGCAAACGGGAUUAGAUACCCCGGUAGUCCAGGGUGUAAACGCUGCAGACUUGGUGUUGGGGACCCUUCGGGGGUGUUCAGUGCCGGAGAGAAGUUGUUAAGUCUGCUACUUGGGGAGUACGUCCGCAAGGAUGAAACUUAAAGGAAUUGGCGGGGGAGCACAAUCUCCUAGGUC